rnacentral:tRNA from 1 species
ACUGGCCCAUUAGCUCAGUUGGUUAGAGCGUCGUGCUAAUAACGCGAAGGUCGCGGGUUCGAUACCCUCAUCCAACU